rnacentral:rRNA from 1 species
AUUGAACGCUGGCGGCAUGCCUUACACAUGCAAGUCGAACGGCAGCACGGGAGCAAUCCCGGUGGCGAGUGGCGAACGGGUGAGUAAAGUAUCGGAACGUGCCCAGUCGUGGGGGAUAACGUAGCGAAAGUUACGCCAAUACCGCAUACGAUCUAUGGAUGAAAGCGGGGGAUCGCAAGACCUCGCGCGAUUGGAGCGGCCGAUAUCAGAUUAGGUAGUUGGUGGGGUAAAGGCUCACCAAGCCGACGAUCUGUAGCUGGUCUGAGAGGACGACCAGCCACACUGGGACUGAGACACGGCCCAGACUCCUACGGGAGGCAGCAGUGGGGAAUUUUGGACAAUGGGCGAAAGCCUGAUCCAGCCAUGCCGCGUGCAGGAUGAAGGCCUUCGGGUUGUAAACUGCUUUUGUACGGAACGAAAAGGUUUGGCCUAAUAAGCUGAGCUCAUGACGGUACCGUAAGAAUAAGCACCGGCUAACUACGUGCCAGCAGCCGCAGUAA